rnacentral:rRNA from 1 species
ACGGGAGGCAGCAGUGAGGAAUAUUGGUCAAUGGGCGGGAGCCUGAACCAGCCAAGUCGCGUGAGGGAUGACGGUCCUACGGAUUGUAAACCUCUUUUGCCGGGGAGUAACAAGCGGGUCGUGACCCGCCGUGAGAGUACCCGGAGAAAAAGCAUCGGCUAACUCCGUGCCAGCAGCCGCGGUAAUACGGAGGAUGCGAGCGUUAUCCGGAUUUAUUGGGUUUAAAGGGUGCGCAGGCGGCGCGUCAAGUCAGCGGUCAAAUCCCGGUGCUCAACGCCGGUCCGCCGUUGAAACUGCCGUGCUCGAGUUCGUGCGAGGAGAGCGGAAUGCGUGGUGUAGCGGUGAAAUGCAUAGAUAUCACGCAGAGCGCCGAUUGCGAAGGCAGCCCUCCAGCACUGGACUGACGCUCAUGCACGAAAGCGUGGGUAUCGAACAGGAUUAGAUACCCUGGUA